UUCUUUGUUUUGGUGCCUCAACCCUAACUUUCUGUCUAUUGUUAUCCUUGUAAAUAGAGUCUGGGUUAAGUAUUCACAAUUUAGACUGAAAUGGCAUCCAAUUUUAAAGAAAAAACAACUCAAGACCAAACAACAAGUAAUCAGUCCAAACUGUCAAGCUCAGCUUUUGAAGACAAUCCUCAAGAAGAGAUUUACACUAUGAGAUCUUUGCUGCAAGACAGGUUAAGAAGACAAUAUAAAGACACUCCAAAGACUACAAACUACUUUCCACUGAAGAUAUAUUUGGGGAAACAUUUGGAAAGCCAAAUGUUUCAUGAGAUGCGAGAGCUGGAAAGACCCUUCAAUGACAUCAAAAAAAGAUGAGAAUAUGAUUAGUUAUGAUGAUGAAACACACCAGCAAUUUGAUUUUGUGUUUCCUCUCCACCUGCCUGAGCUGAAUGUUCUAUAAAACCAGAAACACAGCCUGAUGGAGCUCUUAGAUAUGUUCUUUCCAAAGUUAGUCAAUGUGAAGGUUCUCAAACAAGCCCAAGUCCUCUUUAUAUUUGAUGGCCUGGAUGAGUUUUGACUCCCUCUUAAUUUCAACAAGAUGUGCAGCAAUCCAAUGAAACAGGUUUUUAUAGACUGCCUGCUUGUCAGCCUUCUCAAAGGGAACCUUUUACCAUCUGCCCAGAUUCUGAUCACCUCAAAGCUCAAAGAUGUUUGUUCAGUUCCUCCAGAACAUGUACAGCAGGUGGUUGAACUUUAUGGGUUAGAUGAUUUACAGUGGGAAGAACAUAUCAAAAGGUGAGUUUCCGAUCAAAGUAUUGCUGCAAGAGUGAUCACUCAGGUUAUGUCAUCAAGGAGUCUUUACAUCAUGCAUUCCCUGUCAUUUUUUUGUCAAAUGCCACUGUUGUGGAAGAACUAUUUAGUAAUAGCUGCAAUACAGAUCCUCCAUUGACACUGACCGAAAUGCUCUCGCAUUUCCUGCUGAUUCAAAUGAGGAGAUGAGUGCUCCAGAAAGAAAAAAGACUGAGGAAAGAUCCACUAGAUCAGGCACUGAGGAGAUCCUAACGUUAGCUAGACUGGCUUGGCACAUGCUGGAAAAGGACACUUUAAUUUUCACAGAAAAAGACAUGAAAAUGGCCAAUAUUGAUGGUUUACUUCCUGUCAAACUUGUUGAGGAUUGGCCCAUGAUUUUCAACACAGAGGAACUGAUGCAUUUAGGGAAAACAUUCCGCUUCACACAUCCCAGCAUCCAGGAGCUCCUUGCUGCACUGUAUGUUACUGUAAAUUUACUGUCUUUCAUACUGAUAGAAAGAGUAAAGAGGAUGCUCAGACCCACAGAAGUUCCUCUUGAAAUGCACAGAAGAGCAUUGGAUAGAGCUUCAAGAAGCAAAAAUGGCCACCUGGACAUCUUUCUCCUCUUUCUAUUGGGCAUGUCUUUUGGUUCCAGCAAAAUCCUCCUGUCUGACUUCUUCCGAAAUUCAUCUUGCAAUGUUAGGCUAGAGGAUUUAGUCCUUAACAUCUUAAGGAAAAUCCAGAAGAGCCCAUCAUUUGGGUUUUCAGUUAAUCUCUCUCGCUGUUUAGAAGAGCUAGAUGUAGCCUUGCCUAUAUUUAAAGAUCGAGGUCAGAUCGAGUUUCAAGGAUAUGCGAACGCAACAGUCAAGCCUUCAGAGUGCUCACAUGUGGCAACUACUUUAGUGACCUCCGUGAACUCAUCUGCAACGUUUUACAUUAAGAAACACGCCAACACAGAAGAAGCCGCCAUGAAACUGGUGCCUGCAAUCGAGAUCUCCAGAGUCCUCAGCAUUGUCUUUUUAGGAUACCAUCUUCUGAUAAUGCUUUCAGUGGUGGGGCUGUUCCUCUGGUCUUUGCACUUUUAAAUAACCCCUCAUCACAUCUGAGAGAGCUGAACUUACAACAUGCAUACCCUUAUGAUAACAGGGCAGUCCAGUGUCUCUCCCAAAUCCUAGUGAACCCUUUCUGUCAUCUGGAGAAACUCGCGUGAGUAUAACGAUUAGAGCCUGUUAUUCAGAAACUGCAAUUUUACUUGAUUUUGUUACUCAGAAUUUACUUCUUAGAGAUCUUGCUAAUCAGAAUGCAGUGCGCAAAAAAGGUACCAACGAAAGAACAGAAAGUUACAAAGAGAAUAAAGAUAUUUUUUGUCCAUAUUGCACAGUCCUAGUGUGUUCUUGCAAUUUCAGAAUCUCUGUAACUAAAGUUGCUUAAGUUUUGUGAUGUAUCACAUAUACAUCCUAUUUUAAGUGAAAUAUGAGACAAAAUUGACGCUUAAGAAAAAGCAACCUCUAAUCAAUAAAAGUUUCAGUCCACACCAGACUUUAUGGCCAUUCGAACUGUUAUAAGUUGCAUUAACAUUGUUUCUUUCAGAAAUACAGUGCUUUGUCUUCCCAAGUGUACAGGUACAGCUCUCUUUAGAAGGUUGUCAGAUGUUGGCUGCAGCUCUCUGUAGCAGUCCUUGUCAUCUGAAAGAGCUUGACUUGAGGAGUUGUUUUCAAUGUUUAGGCAAAAAUCACACUGUGAUUUGCACCACACUGUUGGCAUGGUUCAGACAUCCAAACUGCAAACUAACAGUACUAAGGUUGGCAGAUUGCAAUAUAGAUGAGGACGCUUUCUCUGCAUUGGUUUCUGCAUUUCAAGAAAACCCUUCACACCUGAAGGAAUUUGAUCUAACUAACAACAGACGAAAUGGAGUUGAAUUUGAGCAGCUUUUCUCUCUGCUGGGGGAUCCUCGCUUCAAACUGGAGUCCCUGCGGAUUAUUAACUGUCGGUAUGAAUGAUGAAUCUGGUCUUAAUCUAAAAGAGCUGUUCUGUUUGUUCUUGGAACUUGCAGCCUCAGAUGUCUGGAUCUCAGCAUGUGUCGCUUGUUAGAUUCUUGUGGAGAAGCUCUCCACCGGACUGAGUAACCCUGACUGUAAACUGAAUAUUCUCAGUUGAGUCUGAAUAUAAAGAGGUCAUAUCAUGAGUAAUAAACUUUUCCUCAAUCUUUUAGGACUUUACACAUAGGCAUAGGCCCUGUUUACAUCUGGUAUUAAGAUCUAUCUCAGGAGAGGUAUCUUGAAAAUGUUCCAUGAUGUCUAUGCAUGUAUAUGUAUGUGCUUUUUAAAGAUUUCCAAUUGGACAGUUAUUUCUUUUAAAAGUUGCAAAAAACUUUUUUAUAUAUUCGUGACUACUUUAAAAGGUGAAAAUCUAUGGCAUGUGAGAAGUAACAAAAUUACCUAAAUGUGUGCUUUACUGUUACUAUAUUUAUUGCCUAAAGGAUGACACACUGCGGUAUAACAGAAUUGGGAGCUACUUGUUUGGCGAGAGCUCUCCAUCAACCCGUACAACAUGCAAGAAAUAGACUUGAGCAUCAAUCCAGUAAAAGGUCCAGGUUUUGACCAGCUCAAAUCUGUUUUGGAAGAUUUAACAACAUGAUUAGAGAAAUUAAUUGUGGUCGGCCUGGACGAGAGACGUGACAUGGAAACUCUACGGAAAUGUUAGACUGCCUUUUUUGUAAUUGCUUUUUAAUUAAAAGUCAACAUGAAACAGCAUUUGCUACCCAUUUUACUUCUUUAAUGUGAUGCAUUUCCGAGUAAGGCUCUUCAACAAGAAAAAAAUGUAAGAUGUGUGCCAGUUGACUUGGGAUCCCAUCGCAGCUGAGCAAUAUCUAGUGGUGUUAGAGAAAGAUAAGAUGGUUUAUGAUAGAUGCAAACAACAGAAGCGCAUGCCAUAUCAUCCAGAGAGGUUUGAGGCUCCAGGCCAAGUCAUGAGCAGAUAGGGGCUUUGCCGCCGCCAUUUCUUCCAGGUGGAAUGGUUUGGCACGGGGCCCAUUAUUGGAAUGGGCUAUCAAGCCCUGAACUUAAUAAUAAAUCCUGGGCUAUUUCUCCAAGCACACCCUACAAUGUCUAUAUAGCCCUUGAAGGAGUGAUAGAGACCUGGCUCCCUUCCUGCACGGCCUAGAGAGUUGGGGUGUAUCUGGACUGGGAUGCAGGAAUUCUGUCCAUCUACAACACCACACGUGACAUUGCCGAACUCAUACACACCUUCCAUACUAACUUCACCCAUCGUCUCUAUCUACUCGUACAAACCUUAGUCGGCAUUCGGCUGUUGCAAGACAACCCUCCACCAGUCUGUUGCCAUGAACAUGACCCCUGGGAUAUGUGCAGGGGUGAAAUGAACUGCAAGGGUUGUAACGGGUCAAAAGUGAUUAGAUAGACUGAUGUGCUUUCUGUUUGUGUAUGAGCUGAUGAUUAAAUUAAUAAUGUAGUCAUUUAAUCUGGAGAGGGCAUAGAUGCUAGUUUCAAUGUUUAAGUAUUAUUGAUGUCUGUCAUGUAAAGACUUAGCAUAUGAUAUAAUAUAGCAUUGUCAUACAACACAAUACUUUGUUAGUUCCUACAGUGCUGUUUAUUAUAUAGCUUUACUUAAUUGUUUAAUUUAUUGUUUGGGAACAAAAUGAAUUUAAAUUUCAGGAAAUAAUCUGA